rnacentral:rRNA from 1 species
CCCCAGACUCCUACGGGAGGCAGCAGUGGGGAAUAUUGCACAAUGGGGGAAACCCUGAUGCAGCGACGCCGCGUGAGCGAUGAAGUAUUUCGGUAUGUAAAGCUCUAUCAGCAGGGAAGAAGAUGACGGUACCUGACUAAGAAGCCCCGGCUAACUACGUGCCAGCAGCCGCGGUAAUACGUAGGGGGCAAGCGUUAUCCGGAUUUACUGGGUGUAAAGGGAGCGUAGACGGCGAUGCAAGCCAGAUGUGAAAGCCCGGGGCUCAACCCCGGGACUGCAUUUGGAACUGUGUGGCUGGAGUGUCGGAGAGGCAGGCGGAAUUCCUGGUGUAGCGGUGAAAUGCGUAGAUAUUAGGAGGAACACCAGUGGCGAAGGCGGCCUGCUGGACGACAACUGACGGUGAGGCGCGAAAGCGUGGGGAGCAAACAGGAUUAGAUACCCUAGUA